GACAGGUAGUGAGGGCUUGUAGAUAAACCAGUUGAAGUCAGAAGGCAAAGGAUCCUUUGAUGUAGUCCAUUCAGAGCAGAAGGAGAAGAAUGCAGAGUGGAUCUGCAGGGACAAAUAGAAGAUGCAGCGCAAUGGAGAUACUGUUUAAUGCCGCAGGGGACCUGGGCUCUUUUCGUCUCUCCUAUGUAAAGAGAAUUUCCUCCAUCCAAGUAAAACUGAUGCGAUCGGUCAGCUUUCUAGACAACAGAAAUAAAUAAUUCUCUCUGUGAGGAAUGACAAAUAUUCCUAUGACUAUGAAAACUAUAAAUCUACUUUCAAUUUAUAAUCUUAGAAAGAUUCAGGGAAAUGAACCAUCUAUGAUAUAGUAAAAUGCACCAGAGACUGCACAUU
rnacentral:lncRNA from 1 species